GCUCAGGACGAACGCUGGSGGCAUGCCUAAUACAUGCAAGUCGAGCGGAGUWWGAAUGGAAGCUUGCUUCCRUUCUURCUUAGCGGCGGACGGGUGAGUAACACGUAGGCAACCUGCCCUCAAGACUGGGAUAACUACCGGAAACGGUAGCUAAUACCGGAUAAUUUCUUUCCUCUCCUGAAGAGAGAAUGAAAGGCGGAGCAAUCUGCCACUUGGGGAUGGGCCUGCGGCGCAUUAGCUAGUUGGUGGGGUAACGGCUCACCAAGGCGACGAUGCGUAGCCGACCUGAGAGGGUGAACGGCCACACUGGGACUGAGACACGGCCCAGACUCCUACGGGAGGCAGCAGUAGGGAAUCUUCCGCAAUGGGCGAAAGCCUGACGGAGCAAUGCCGCGUGAGUGAUGAAGGUUUUCGGAUCGUAAAGCUCUGUUGCCAGGGAAGAACGUCCGGUAGAGUAACUG
rnacentral:rRNA from 1 species